GACGAACGCUGGCGGCGUGCUUAACACAUGCAAGUCGAGCGAGGAAAUUGCUUCGGUAAUUUCCUAGCGGCGGACGGGUGAGUAACACGUGGGCAACCUGCCUGAUAGAGGGGGAUAGCCUCCCGAAAGGGAGAUUAAUACCGCAUAAAGUCAAAUGAAGACAUCUUCAAAUGACCAAAGGAGUAAUCCGCUAUCAGAUGGGCCCGCGGCGCAUUAGCUAGUUGGUGAGGUAACGGCUCACCAAGGCGACGAUGCGUAGCCGACCUGAGAGGGGGAUCGGCCACAUUGGGACUGAGACACGGCCCAGACUCCUACGGGAGGCAGCAGUGGGGAAUAUUGCACAAUGGGGGAAACCCUGAUGCAGCAACGCCGCGUGAGUGAUGAAGGCCUUCGGGUUGUAAAGCUCUGUCUUCAGGGACGAUAAUGACGGUACCUGAGGAGGAAGCCACGGCUAACUACGUGCCAGCAGCCGCAGUAA
rnacentral:rRNA from 1 species